rnacentral:lncRNA from 1 species
AUGGUGUUGAGCGGGUGUUCCUUUGAUCAUUUCAAGAAAUGUAACGUUGAGUAUACAUCUUCAUAUGUAUAUUUCACAUGUUUUCCGCUGCAAAACACUUUGAUUAGGAUAACUCUAUGUUAUGAAGUUGUGACACGUGAUAUUGGGUAACCCACCUUAAUCAGUUCUCCUUUAUGUGUAUGUGUUAUAAGUAUCCAAAUGAUCAUAUAUGAUCCUAACAUUUUAUCUAUAAGUGACAUUUCCAUAUACUUUAAUGUUAAGUAAUUAUCCAU